GAUGAACGCUAGCGAUAGGCUUAACACAUGCAAGUCGAGGGGCAACAUGGUCUUAGCUUGCUACGACUGAUGGCGACCGGCGCACGGGUGCUUAACGCGUAUGCAACUUGCCUCACCGAGGGGGAUAACCCGUCGAAAGACGGACUAAUACCGCGUACACUUGGGAUAGGUCAUCCUGACCCAUGUACAUGCAUUUCGCUGUGAGAUAGGCAUGCGUCCCAUUACCUAGUGGGUGAGGUAACGGCUCACCCAGGCGACGAUGGGUCCGGGAGCUGAGGGGUCGAAGCCCCACACUGGUACUGAGACACGGACCAGACACCUACGGGAGGCAGAAGUGAGGAAGAUUGGUCAAUGGGAGAGAGCCUGAACAAGCCAAGUCGCGUGAAGGAUGACUGUCUUAUGGAGUGUAAACUUCUUUUAUACGGGAAUAACAAGAGCCACGUGUGGCUCCCUGCAUGUACCGUAUGAAUAAGCAUCGGCUAACUCCGUG
rnacentral:rRNA from 1 species